GGCCAAUGGACCUCCAAGUGACCUGCAACUUCAGGCUGUACACAAAGGUGCUCUUCAGGUGUUUAAUGUCACAGAAAAGACUUCCUCGACUCUGAAGGAGUUCUGAAAGAAAGAUUUCAGUGUCCUCCACUGCAUCAAACUCAUUGACAAAGCCUGAGAAGAUGUCACACAACAGACCUCAAACUCAGAAGAAACUGCGGCCAGGAUGUGUCACUGAAUGUGGCUUUGAAGGGUCUGAUGCACAGGCAGUGGAGGAGAUGUGUCCAUGGGCAGGAAGAUGGGUCUGGACAUCGAUGGUGCAGACAUAGAGGAGCUCGUUGAGAGCUGUAAGGAGCUGAUGACAGACCUUACUGAACUCCAGAGUGGAUACCAGAAGGGGCUUGUUGGGGAGUGUUCCACCGAGGAAAAGACAGACAGGGAGGAGGACGGCGGUGUUGUGAUAAAAUCCAUUAUGGAAAAAUGGAAUGAGUACCAGGAUUUUUUUGAGAAAGCACCACCCCAACAUAGCAUGGUCUCUCAUUUCCAGAAGGUUUCAUUUUCCAUGCAGUGCUGGAAAAAACAAAUGAUAUUAGACAAAAUUUUUUUUAAUCAAGAUUGACCCUGGAGUUAAGAGACAGAGAAGAGAAGAAACUGCUGAAGGAGAUCUCCCCAAUGUCUUUAUGGAGGGGGACUCUCCCUCCAAACAAUAACUUCCUUCCCACCUACCUUCCUAUCAUCCAUGCCAGAAGUCACCUGAAGCAAGGAACAGGUUCACAGGCUCCCGCGGGAAGGAAAUGUAUUGAUGCUGGCCAUGGCCGUUUCCUCAUAGGAGCCAUUGGGCUUCAACGUGUGCUGAGAGCUGCUCAGGGGCACUUGCUCUGGAGCCAAGGCAAACGACAACUUCCUCACUGAUUUUCGUUACCUCAGAGCCUUCCAGAACGUUCCCAUUAGGCAAGGCUCUAUGUUAAAUUAAACCCCACUCGCAGUAAUUUAAGGGGACUGCUACACGGCUGGGAUCUGAAGCAAGCACGAAAGUUGGACCCCCCAGUCAUCAGCCAAGUGAUGGAAAAGUUCUGUCCCAAAAGCCACCUGUCAGAUGCACAAGUCACACCACAUCACUGCUGUUGGAGAGCCUGGCAGCAACACUGGCUCGCUGUCCUGUGCUUCCUCUCUGUUUUAUGAAGUGCUUGACGCCUCCUCUGUGCACUGGACUCAGCAGUCACUUAAAGGGAGAGGAGCAGCCCUUGCUACCAAGGCCAGUGGCUCCCAGGGGUGUGGUGCCAGGCCAUGGCCAUGCCGUGUUGCACUUGGCUCCAAGAGCACAGUGCAGUGCCACCUAUGUGCCCUCAUCCUAGGAAGAGCAAAGAGCCCUGACCCUGCCCUGCCACCCCCGGCAGUGACAUAGACCACGUCUCUCACAAAGGCACUGCCCAGAC